AAAAAAAAAAAAACAUUCGGGAGAGAGAAAGAAGGUGCAGAGAGAAGGAAACGAGGAAGAGGGCAUUAGCACUAACGGAACUUCUAAUCUUAAUAGGUUCGGAAGCGGCAACGAGCACCGUUCCUCCACGUAGGGAGUGAGCUCGUGUUGGUACUUUUUUUUGGCUGGGCCUCGAGGUGGGUGUUCUUAUUUUUAAUAGCAGAAGAUGAGACACUAUGUAGAGUUAUUUUUUGUAUUGAAAUGGUUAACUUUUGGCUUGAGCUUUUAAGCGAGAAUAUGAUCGUAGCCUUAGUGGCAUUAUAAUAUGGCCUUAGUGGCGUUAUUGAAUAUUGCCUUAGUGGCGUGGAUAAAUAUUGCCUUAGUAGCGUGACGACUCUUGCCUUAGUGGCGUAAAGAAUAUUACCUUAGUGGCGUGAAUAUGGGAAUUGCCUUAGUAGCGUUAUGAGUAUUACGUAAUGGAACAUUAUUGUGGGGCUGAAUAUUCUUGUUUAAAUUGUUUGAUAGCACUUGUCUUUAUUGCUUCUCUUAUUACGGAUAAGAACAUUUACUGAGCAAGUUGAUAGCUCACACCCCCACAGUGUUUUCUUUUCAGAGUUGUCCACUGCAAAGUCUAGACAUGAGUUGUUGAUAUAGUAGUCUAGUUUUUUUUUACUCUUUUGAUUAUGUGCCUAUUUUUGGAGCUUGUAUAUGUUGUAAAUAUCUGUGGGCACGUCUUGUAUGAAAGUUAUUUCCAUAUAUAUGCAAGUUAAGUUUAAGUU